GCAGUAGCUGGCUGCAAAGUUAUAGCAGCAUACAUUUUCCAGAGCAUACAAAAAGUCUGCUGUAAGGAUUAAUCCAAAAGGAAAGAAAACAUGCUUGGAAACAUUGCCUCUAGGUUGGGUUGUGUCUUUCUGCCUAUUGCAGGAAGAGGACACAAGAACUCUGCUGCCUGAAAGAAAGAUCUAAAGAAGUGAGUUUUCUCAUGGAAAGGUUUGAUUUUUGUUCUGUUCUCAGGGCACUGUGUUGAAGAGGUGUUUGUAUAUCUUGGUGACAUCAGUUCAAACAAACCAUUAAACAUUCUGGGUUUUCAAAUUCCUAUUGCAUGAGACAAGGUAGGGAACGCAUUGGGAAGUCAAACGUGUCUACCAAAAUACUGAACAAACCAGCCAGGCAAAAGCUGACAAAAUUGUUGCUGACAGUAUUUUUUCCUACAGGUUAAAUUAGUUGCAAUCUUCAAAAAUCUUCAUUGAUAUCUUACAGGAUGAUGUGUUAGACAGAGAUUCUGUCUGUGGACUGAGAUCCCACCAUUUUAUAAGAUCCUUCCUAAAGACCUUACACUUCCUGUGGAGGAGGAGCUCUGUGCUGUCCCCAUGGAAUGGGAAGAACUUGGAUGCUACAGUAAGACUCCUCUCUUCACCCCUCAUGAGCAGGUCCUGUGUUAUGUGGAAGCGUGCAGCAAUCUGGUCUGGAUGAAGAAAAUACCUCACAAAACCCAGUUUCUCUCAUGAGAUUGUCUUAACUUUCUAAUAAAAAAAUAAUUUAAAAAAUUAUUUUAAAAAUAAAAUAAUGAUAAAUCAUGCUGGGAAAACCAAUUCCAAUGUGAUAAAACUCCUACAGUGUGAAGCAAGAACCACUCAAUUCAACUGCAAAGAGAAGGGCAUGUUAUUUAAUCAAACAGUGGGUUAGAGAACAGCAUCAAAUAUGCAUUUUUAUAUUUGUUUCUAUUUUUUCUAGUCCAUUUCUGACUGAAUUUCUUUAGUAUUACACAGACUUGAGUUACAUCUUGUGCAUCUUGUGGAAGAAAAUGGGUAUCCUAACAGAGCUUUUGAAUUUAGUUAAAAUGACUUCAGCAAGGCUGCAGUAGGUCAGUGGCCAAGCUUGGAAAAGAAGUUAGGUGAUGUUUUGCCCAGUUCUAUAUCUUUUAAUUAGCAAACUGGCCUGCCUCCCUGAAUGACAAUGGCAUUGUGAUACUUAAAUGUUCAGAAGCCUAAACUUUAUAUACUAACCGUAACACAGAGAAUUUCUCAAACAGACUCUAAGAAAAUAUUGCUAUUGCUUCUUUACCAGUUGUGCCCUAACCCGCUUUUUGUGUGGUAUUCAAGGAUAAUUUUGACAACAGAAUUAUCUUUUGGGGAAUAUAAAAUACCAGGGAUUAAAAGGGAUAGAUCUAGAUAGGGCAGGAAUUUGCCAGCAGGAUGGUGUUCUGAAACAACUUCUGAAAAAUUAACAUGCUAUGAAAAUAAAUUUUUUUUUGACAUUAUGCUCUUCUAUUUUUCUUUUAGAAAACAAAAUGAAGGACUUUUCUUUUAGAAAACAAACUAAAGGACUAUUUUUUUUUGAGUAAAUUGUGUGUUUCCCUUUUGUGGUGUAUUUCUUUAGUAAAUUUAUUUUUUGCAUGCCUAUUGCUCCCAGUCUCUGCUGGUCUGAUCUUGCUUGCCCACUGGUAUUUGCCACUAAGACUCAGAAUCAUAGUUUUCUUUGAGGAGCUUGGUACAUUAUGGCAGUCAUUGUCCCAUAGAAGAGGAUGAAGGAUACAGACAGUCGCUCCUGUGGGUCUCAUGAAAAAUGAAAUAGGGAAAGAGCCCAGCAAAUUGAAACAAUAUUUUUCAAUUCAUGAAUACUAAAAAUUCAAAUGUCUUCCCAAAAUAACCCUGAAGUUUUAUUUCUUAUUGAAAAUUCUUUUUAAAAAUCCCAACAAAACAAAACAGCUGAGAUUUACUUUAGCAUCCCAAGUUAGGAAAAAAUGUUGAAUAAAAAAGUUUUUUAUAUAGGAUUAAAUUUCCAUAUUUUUUUCAGCUCUAAUUAUGAUAAGGUUGUACAAGGAUUAAUUUUAUUCUUUCUUUGUCUCAUCCUUUUUCCAUCCUAGACAAUGAAAAUAGUUUAAUCUAGCAGUUUUUACAUUGUGGUCUGUGCACCAGAACUGGCUUGUAAAACUUUUUCUUUCAGUGGUUUUAUUGUUCAAGAACUGAUGCUUCUUGUUACUUCUCACCAUGCAUUUUGGUUUUGUGAAUGAGUAUGUUUAGAUAAAAGAAUAAUACUAAUCAUGUAUAUACCUUUUGUAUAGCUUUAUGUUAUAAUUAAAUAAAAAUUAUACCAGAACAACGCUUCUGAAAGGCUGAGUUAACAGGAAAAAGAACAGUCAGCGGUGACUGAGAGAAAUCUGGGAUGCCUUCACUUCAGAUAUUCAGCAAGGAAGAGGAAACACCACAGGUAAAACAUAAGAUGGAGUGUUGUUCUUACUGCACAUAGUUUAAACUUGAUGGUGUAAGAACUGUGCUUUGGGCUGCUUUUCAAGGAAGGGAAAACUAAUGGGGUUUUAGUUCAUGGCAGGGACUAGCAAACCAAGUAGGAUCAAUUGCAAUUUAAAUAGAAAAGUGAAAGCUAUAGGAUCUUAGUUGCUGUGUCAUACUGGUUUUCGUUUUCAUGAUGCCUUUUACAGUUUUAUUGUUCUAUUGCCUCAUGCUUGUGUAGUUUGAAGAUAUUCAAAGUGAUUGUUUAUUUUGAGCACCUCCAUUUUUUAAAGGUCCAAACUAGAGAAGUUUCAGAGUAGGGAAACUCAGUUGUUUGUGUGGUUUGUCAACAUGACAUGGGAAGACGAAGAAAAAAUGGGUGUGAACAAAAUCCA